GAAUUUGAUCUUGAAAACUGGGGGCCUCGAAGAUUUCUGGAUGCUCAAGUGAAUGUCUCAGUACAUAAUUACUUGAAUUUCCCAUCAUUACCCUGAACAGGAGGUUGGUUUCACUCUUUCAUUGUACUUCAGCUCAGUUGCAAAAUAAGAGAACCAGAAAUGAAAGAAAAAGGAAUGACACUGCAAACUGAGCAACUGAGGCACCUGGCCCCAAGGAGGAUAAUGUUUGGCCACAGUCUGGCAUGGACAGAAGCCAAACCCACCAAGAGCUUUGAAACAACAAAAUUGUACAGGAAGCAAGUCUGAAAACAGAGUUGAGGAGAAAAGUCAAGCUGCUUUCCCAGAUACUGUGGGCACCACCAAGUGGAACGCGGAAAUACAGCCACCAAAGUCCAAACUCUGCAACUAUUACUCCCCUUUAGCCCAACACUCAGUGUGAGCUUUCUGCCCUCCUUUACUCUUCAUGUUAGUUCUGCCGUGACCCAAUGACCUCUGG